CCCUUAGAUGUCCUGGGCCGCACGCGCGCUACACUGAGUGUCUGAGAUACGAGUCUGCCUGGUCCGGCAAGGUCUAGGUAAUCGCUAAAAGACACAUCAUGCUUGGGAUAGAUUAUUGCAAAUAUUAAUCUUGAACGAGGAAUUCCUAGUAAGCGCAAGUCAACAGCUUGCGUUUAUUACGCCCCUGCCCUUUGUACACACCGCCCGUCGCUACUACUGAUUGGAUGUUUAAGCGAGGUUCUCGAACUGCUAGCGACUUAGCUUCGGUGAGGUCGCAGUGUGGGAAGUGAACCUAGCUUUGGUGUCUAGAGGAAGUAAAAGUCGUAACA
rnacentral:rRNA from 1 species